ACUUAUAUAGUAUAAAAAUUACAUUUAACUUCCAAUUAAAAAAUCUAGAAUAUAGUAUAAGUA
rnacentral:tRNA from 1 species